rnacentral:rRNA from 1 species
CCUACGGGAGGCAGCAGUAAGGGAUAUUGCAUAAUGGACGGAAGUCUGAUGCAGCGACGCCGCGUGGGCGAAGAAGGUUUUCGGACCGUAAAGUCCUUUUCUAUGUGACGAGAUAGGACGGUAGCAUAGGAAUAAGUGUCGGCUAACUACGUGCCAGCAGCCGCGGUAAUACGUAGGACACGAACGUUAUCCGGAGUUACUGGGCGUAAAGCGCGCGCAGGCGGUUAGUCAAGUUACCUAUGAAAGAUACCGGCUAAACUGGUAUAUGUUAGGUGAAACUGGUUGACUAGAGAGAAAUAGAGGGAAGUAGAAUUCCGGGUGUAGUGGUGAAAUGCGUAGAUAUCCGGAGGAAUACCGGUGGCGAAGGCGGCUUCCUGGAUUUCCACUGACGCUGAGGCGCGAAAGCGUGGGUAGCGAACGGGAUUAGAAACCCCGG